AUAAUCUUUACCACUCAAUCUAGUGGUUCUAGAGGGUACAAAAAGGUUUGUGGAGAAGUUGUAGCGAUUUUGUAGUUGAAGAGUAUAAUUUAGAUUUAAAAGAACUUUUCGCUUGUUUUUCAAACUGACAAGCAUCACAAUUUUUAUCUUCUUCAAACUUCAAAUUUGACAAAUCUUUGAUUUUUUUUCUGGAGAAAACAUUCUAACAUGACCUAAUCUCUUAUGUGACAACUGAGUAUCAUCCUUUAAAAUUGAUAAACAUUUCUCAUCACUUUCAAAUUCGAUAUUUAUGAUUUAAACAUCUUUAUGUUGGCUUCCUAUAAAUAUCGCUUUUGAUGUAGCAUCCUUAAUAAAGCAUUUAGAAUAAUCGAAUUCAAUAUGAUAUUAUUUAUCACAUAAUUGACAAAUACUUUAAUGUUAUCUAACAAUCAAACAUUUUCAAUUGAAGGAGGAGAAUGAUUACCAAUGUUCCAAAUUUCAACGAUUUUUCCUUUUGUAUUAUCCCCGAAUGUGAAAUGACCUCCAUCAUUUAUUAUUAUUUUUUUUUUGAAAUUUGAUAGUAAUAUUCUAUCUCCGAUCAUGUGUUUUGAGUAUCCAUUAUCCAAGAACCAUUUACUCUUUAUCUUCUUUGGAACCUACAAAAAAUAUUUCAAUUUUUUAUCUUUGGUACCCAUACAAAUUUGGGUCUUUGGUAAUUAGUUUUUGUGGACUCUUCAAUCUACUUGUUCUUACUUUCAAAGUGUAGCCUCGUUUUGGCUAGAUAGUUAUAGCAAUACAUCCAUUUUUAUUGCAAAAGCUACAUGCCGUGUUUGAAGUUUUGACAAAUAAAUUUUUGAAAGAUGCUUGUUUCGAGAGUGGCUUACAUCCAAUUCCUCCUUUAUCAAAAACACAUUUUUGAUCAUCAAGCAUUAAAUUAAAAUUCUUCUUACCUUGAUUGAAUUUGCAAAUAAUCUCAGUUAAAUUUUCAAAUUUUUUUAAAGAAAAAUUUCCUUUAAUCAAUGAAUCAUAAUCAACAUUUUCCUUUUGAGAUCUUUUGAGUUUCUAAAAUUUUUUUCAUUUUAUUUUUCAACAAGUAGUGCUUCUUUUUAAGAAUUGAGUGAUUUAAAGAAAGCUUUUCAAAUUCCUCAAAAGUUUCAUCAUAUGAUGUAGAUAAAAGAUCAUAAGAACAUUUUUCAAUGGGGUUUACCUCACUUCGAUUGCCACGAAACACGUGUUGACGACUUCUACUUGACUAUCAUUUUCAUCGUGAUAAUCAUCAUCGUUUUCAUCUCAUGUUGCUUGGAGUGCCG
rnacentral:lncRNA from 1 species